rnacentral:rRNA from 1 species
AGAGUUUGAUCCUGGCUCAGGAUGAACGCUGGCGGCGUGCCUAACACAUGCAAGUCGAGCGAUCUUCUUCGGAAGAGAGCGGCGGACGGGUGAGUAACGCGUGGGUAACCUGCCCUGUACACACGGAUAACAUACCGAAAGGUAUGCUAAUACGGGAUAACAUACUUUUAUCGCAUGGUAGAAGUAUCAAAGCUCCGGCGGUACAGGAUGGACCCGCGUCUGAUUAGCUAGUUGGUAAGGUAACGGCUUACCAAGGCGACGAUCAGUAGCCGACCUGAGAGGGUGAUCGGCCACAUUGGAACUGAGACACGGUCCAAACUCCUACGGGAGGCAGCAGUGGGGAAUAUUGCACAAUGGGCGAAAGCCUGAUGCAGCAACGCCGCGUGAGCGAUGAAGGCCUUCGGGUCGUAAAGCUCUGUCCUCAAGGAAGAUAAUGACGGUACUUGAGGAGGAAGCCCCGGCUAACUACGUGCCAGCAGCCGCGGUAAUACGUAGGGGGCUAGCGUUAUCCGGAAUUACUGGGCGUAAAGGGUGCGUAGGUGGUUUCUUAAGUCAGAAGUGAAAGGCUACGGCUCAACCGUAGUAAGCUCUUGAAACUGGAGGACUUGAGUGCAGGAGAGGAGAGUGGAAUUCCUAGUGUAGCGGUGAAAUGCGUAGAUAUUAGGAGGAACACCAGUGGCGAAGGCGGCUUACUGGACGGUAACUGACGUUGAGGCUCGAAAGCGUGGGGAGCAAACAGGAUUAGAUACCCUGGUAGUCCACGCC